GGAAUAUUGGUCAAUGGCCGGAAGGCUGAACCAGCCAAGUAGCGUGCGGGACGACGGCCCUACGGGUUGUAAACCGCUUUUGUACGGGGGUAAAACGCGCGACGAGUCGCGCCUUGCAAGUACCGUAAGAAAAAGGACCGGCUAAUUCCGUGCCAGCAGCCGCGGUAAUACGGAAGGUCCGAGCGUUAUCCGGAUUUAUUGGGUUUAAAGGGAGCGUAGGCGGGAUGCCAAGUCAGUUGUGAAAGUUCUCGGCUCAACCGUGGAAUUGCAGUUGAAACUGGUGUUCUUGAGUGCACAUAACGAAGGUGGAAUUUGUGGUGUAGCGGUGAAAUGCUUAGAUAUCACGAAGAACUCCGAUUGCGAAGGCAGCCUUCGGAGGUGCUACUGACGCUGAGGCUCGAAAGUGCGGGAAUCAAACA
rnacentral:rRNA from 1 species